UGACAAACAAACUGAAGUCAAGACAAGAAAAGACUCAGUGACAGCAGGAAUAAGACAUUAUUCAGAUAAAUGAUUCACUUGAGAAUCCAGAAUUUUCUCAGAGGAGUUUAAGAAAGGAAGGAUCAUCCUCAUACUCAUAUGCUGCUUCAUCUGUGUACUUUCAGUGCUCAUAACCAAAGUCUCUCUGCAGGUCACAGUAGAGGGUUUCAUCGGUGGUUCUGUUGUCCUGCCGUGUUCUUCAGCUGAACAUGAUCUUACACUUCAAGACAUUUCUGUGCACUGGAGACACAAAGACAGCAAGAUUGUGUAUGAUAUAGUUAAGGGUGAAGAUUCAAUAGAGACACAGGACAUGCGAUACAAGAACAGAACCAAAACUUUCCCUGAAGAGUAUGUGAGAAGAAACUUCUCCAUCAGACUCACUGAUCUCACUCACGCUGAUGCAGGAAAAUACAUCUGUCUCAUCACACCCUCAUCUGAACAGGAGACUGUAGAGCUGAUCAUCAACGAAUCCACAGCAGAAACAGGAAACAGAUUCACUAAUCAAAGAAACCGAGGAGAAGAUACAGUGACAUCACCAUCAUUGCUCUGUGUUUACAUUGUAGUGGCUGUAUGGCUAAAUUUUUAUUAUGAUUUAAUCGUAGCACCCAUUAUGCAUCUGUUCAAAUCAAGUAAACUUGGACU